GAUGAAGAACGCAGCGAAAUGCGAUAAGUAGUGUGAAUUGCAGAAUUCAGUGAAUCAUCGAAUCUUUGAACGCACAUUGCGCCCGGCAGCAAUCUGCCGGGCAUGCCUGUCCGAGCGUCAUUUCUUCCCUCGAGCGCGGCUAGCCCUACGGGGCCUGCCGUCGCCCGGUGUUGGGGCUCUACGGGUGGGGCUCGUCCCCCCCGCAGUCCCCGAAAUGUAGUGGCGGUCCAGCCGCGGCGCCCCCUGCGUAGUAGAUCCUACAUCUCGCAUCGGGUCCCGGCGAAGGCCAGCCGUCGAACCUUUUAUUUCAUGGUUUGACCUCGGAUCAGGUAGGGUUACCCGCUGAACUUAAGCAUAUCAAUAAGCGGAGGA
rnacentral:misc_RNA from 1 species